UUUUUUAACUCAACUGUCUUUUGCCCUCUCGCAACAUACUUCAGAUUUAAUAAGGUCUGAAAGAUGGAAAAUUAGAUGGUGUAGUGGAUUUUCAUCUAGAAUUUCAGGAGUAGAAGAUACUUACACAAAACCAUGUGCUCCAUUUUGGGUGACAAAACAUAUUUAUUAAUUAAAUGUGGGGGAAAAAAUGCUGCCUGAAUUUGGCAACUUACAGAAUUGUAGAUGUUUUCUAAGUCUUAGGAUAUAAGCCAAUCAUUUGGAGUUCUAAAAGUACGCAUAAAAAUAUAUCACAGCCCAGUAAGACUAUUAACUCAGGGCCAGAGUCCGUGACAGCGAGGUGGACAUGAUCAUAAAACCUGGUGACAUCAUGCUCUACUCACAUGUAAGAUUCCAGUGAGUGAUGAGGCUCAGCAGAAGGUGAUCUGCAGCGUGACCUUUAAUGGUCUUUUGCUGAGACCAAUGCAAGUAAGAGUCUAAGGUCAGCAGAGUGGCUGGUGACUGUUGUGCUAAUAGAGGAGAAAUGUAUUCCUUUUUUGGUUAUCUUUGAUGACUUGGCACCUGGUUACUAUUAAAGAUUCAGUUAUAUUACCAUGCUGGGUUAAUUGUAACCUCAUGACCAUGUUACUAUAUUAAAAGAAAUUAUAUUUUGACAAAAAAAUUCUUGAGUUCCCCCCUUGAAUUGUAUAUUACUCUAAUUUGGUAAGAUUACAAAAAACUUAAAACUAUUAAUAGCCAUCAGUUCACUUUAUUUGGCUAACUGGUGAAUUCUUUUUAAAUCUUUAGCAUUUCUUAAAGGAAAUGUGAUUUCUAUUUGUGUGUGCAUAUGUGUAUAUGUAUAGGUAUAUGUAUUUAUGUAUAGAUAGAUAAAAUAUAGUCUUUAGACAACUUCUCUUAGAGAUUCUUUGCUCUACUAUAUUGUGUUCAACUCAGGUGCCAAAGGAGCUCUCUUCUGAUGGACAUGUAAAUAUACAUUUAAGUUCUUUAAGAAGUAGUUUGUUGGUUCAAUAAACUAGCCAUUACAGAAGCUAAAUUGGGCUCUUGUAUAUCUAAAACUGAGAAGUUUUUUUCUAACAUGUUGAUCAUCCAUUUAUUUGCCUUCCAUACUAAGCUAAUGCAGGUAAAGCUUGGUAAGCCAUUGGUGAAGAGGAUUUUUUACAAAAGAUCAUAUUUUUAAAUUUCUAGAGGAAUUUAUGCCAUAGUAAAAAUUAAGAAUAAAAAAAGUUUGAAUUUUAAAUUAUAAGCUAAUUCUUAAAAAGUAUUUUAUACCAGCUUUCUUUUAAUCUGAGGAAUCUUAAAAUAGUUCAUAUGCUGCCCUUUAGUAAUAGAAUACACAAAGUUGUAAAUUUCAUAUCUUUUUUCCUAUUUUUAUUGUAAAAAAUAAAAAAUAGUUGCACAAACAGUAUAAAAAUGCAAUUUCUUCGUAAAAGUGAAUUUAAAUAUUUUCACUGUUUGAAGUAUGAAAAUAAAUGAAACCAGUAUUUAGAGAGAAUCUAACAAAUGAUUCCAUUUUUUUUCUCCAAAGAUUGAAAACAAGUAUCUAUCAGAAGUGGAUGAAGUAUCUUGUUAAAAGUAGGAAUCUUAGUCCCUGUCAGGUGAACAGAUGUCAGUAACACUUAAACACAUCUGAAAAUUAAUGUUAAAUUGUGAUGAGUUUAUAAAGUUUAAUAACUUUGCUUUUUGGAUAGAUAGGGUUAAAAAAAUAAAGUAUAGAAGACAGUUACAAUUGUUAUUUUAAUUUUUUUCUCCACGGUCAAGUUAACUCAGUGGUAAAGUUAUAGUGGCACUUUAAGGACAUAAGCAGUAUGUGUUCUGCAGCCGGUAAGGAGAUAAGGCACCUGUGCCAGAGUAUAUAUCAGUACAUUUCUUCCUUUAAAGAAAGUCUUGUUAUAAAAAAAAAAAGCUGAUUAAUGAUAUAAUUGAUUUUCAUUCUGGCACAAGUUCUUUCUUUCGUUUGGGAUGGGUUGCUAAUAGCUCAUGGACCAUACUUUGAAUAGCCUUGCUCUAAGCAAUGUUUAUAAAUUGCUAGUUUAUAACUGUUUACAUUUCUUCUGUUUAUUUUUGAAUUUUCAUCUUUAUAUCUGUCUUGCAAACUUGUCUUUAUUCAUUGUUGUGUUAACAAUUGUACUUAAAUUUCAAAUUGUUUUAAGAUUAAGUUACCUGACUUCAAUUUGGAGAAAUAUUAUCAAUUUAUAAUUUUAUAAGAGUUUAAAGAAUUUUAAAUUCUAAUUGUUAAAUUCACACAAAUUACAAGUGCCCUCAACCUUCAUGAAAUAAUCAUGUUGCUUACGCAUAUUGACUGACAUUAUGAUGAAUAUUUCGGUAAAAAAAAAACAAAAAACCUUAUAUCAACUUAAUGGUCCUUUUGGUUAAAAAUUAAAAAGCACUUUUUU
rnacentral:lncRNA from 1 species